AUGAGAUGUCUUCCUGCCCUCAAACAUCAGACUCCAAGUUAUUCAGUAUUGGGACUCGGACUGACUCUCCUAGCUCCUCAGCUUGCAGACAGCCUGUUGCGGGACCUUGUGAUCAUCACUGUUCACAACAGCCAUGAUCUGGAAGCAACCAAGUGCCCAUCAGCAGAUGAACGGAUAAAGAAAAUGUGGCACAUACACACAAUGGAGUAUAAUUCAGUCAUUAAAAAAUGGGAUUCUGUCAUUUGUAACAAUAUGGAUGGAACUGGAGGUCAGUCAUGUUAAGUGAAAUAAGCCAGGCACAGAAAGACAGACAUUACAUGUUCUCACUUACUUGUGGGAUCUAAAGAUCAAAUCAGUUGAACUCAUGGAGAUAGAGAGUAGAAGGUUGGUGACCAGAGGCUGGGAAGGGGCGUGGGGUUGGGGAGAAGGUGGGAAUGGUUAAUGGGUACAAAAAAAUAUUAAGAAUAAAUAAGACCUGGUAUUUGAUAGCA
rnacentral:lncRNA from 13 species